GUUCACCACUGAAGACCUAUAGGUUCACCACUGAAGACCUAUAGGUUCACCACUGAAGACCUAUAGGUUCACCACUGAAGGCCUAUAGGUUCACCACUGAAGACCUAUAGGUUCACCACUGAAGACCUAUAGGUUCACCACUGAAGACCUAUAGGUUCACCACUGAAGGCCUAUAGGUUCACCACUGAAGACCUAUAGGUUCACCACUGAAGACCUAUAGGUUCACCACUGAAGACCUAUAGGUUCACCACUGAAGACCUAUAGGUUCACCACUGAAGACCUAUAGGUUCACCACUGAAGACCUAUAGGUUCACCACUGAAGGGUCUAUAGGUUCACCACUGAAGACCUAUA